rnacentral:rRNA from 1 species
GACGAACGCUGGCGGCGUGCCUAAUACAUGCAAGUUGAGCGCUGAAGGUUGGUACUUGUACCAACUGGAUUAGCAGCGAACGGGUGAGUAACGCGUGGGUAAUCUGCCUUUAAGCCUGGGACAACAUUUGGAAACGAAUGCUAAUACCGCAUAAAAACUUUAAACACAAGUUUUAAGUUUGAAAGAUGCAUUUGCAUUACACAAUGAUGAUCCCGCGUUGUAUUAGCUAGUUGGUGAGGUAAAGGCUCACCAAGGCGAUGAUACAUAGCCGACCUGAGAGGGAGAACGGCCAAAAUGGGACCGAGGAAAAGCUCAAGACGCUUCGGGAGGGAGGAGUAAGGAAUCUUCGGCAAAGGACGAAAGUCUGACCGAACAAACCCGCGGGGAUGAAGGAGGGUUUCGGGUCGGAAAAAUGUGGUGAUAGGGAAAGAAGAUAGUGAGAGUGGACAGCGCAUCAAGUGACGGUAACUAAGCAGAAAGGGACGGCUAACUACGUG